GUGAGGAAUAUUGGUCAAUGGGCGAGAGCCUGAACCAGCCAAGUCGCGUGAAGGAUGAAGGUUUUAUGAAUUGUAAACUUCUUUUGCAGGGGAAUAAAGUACGGUACGUGUACCGUUUUGUAUGUACUCUGCGAAUAAGGAUCGGCUAACUCCGUGCCAGCAGCCGCGGUAAUACGGAGGAUCCAAGCGUUAUCCGGAUUUAUUGGGUUUAAAGGGUGCGCAGGCGGGUUGAUAAGUCAGCGGUGAAAGUUUGCAGCUUAACUGUAAAAUUGCCGUUGAAACUGUCGAUCUUGAGUGCAAAUGAGGUAAGCGGAAUGUGUUGUGUAGCGGUGAAAUGCGUAGAUAUUGGGAAGAACACCGGUGGCGAAGGCGACUUGCUGGCCAGCAACUGACGCUGAGGCGCGAAAGCCAGGGGAGCAAACGGGAUUAGAUACCCCUGUAGUCC
rnacentral:rRNA from 1 species